AAGCUUAUAAUUUAACGGUUAGAAUAAUUUUUAUUAUGAAGAAUCAGUAGAAGUUCAAAUCUUCUUGGGCUUA
rnacentral:tRNA from 1 species